rnacentral:rRNA from 1 species
GCGGACGGGUGAGUAAUGCCUAGGAAUCUGCCUGGUAGUGGGGGAUAACGUUCGGAAACGGACGCUAAUACCGCAUACGUCCUACGGGAGAAAGCAGGGGACCUUCGGGCCUUGCGCUAUCAGAUGAGCCUAGGUCGGAUUAGCUAGUUGGUGGGGUAAUGGCUCACCAAGGCGACGAUCCGUAACUGGUCUGAGAGGAUGAUCAGUCACACUGGAACUGAGACACGGUCCAGACUCCUACGGGAGGCAGCAGUGGGGAAUAUUGGACAAUGGGCGAAAGCCUGAUCCAGCCAUGCCGCGUGUGUGAAGAAGGUCUUCGGAUUGUAAAGCACUUUAGUUGGGAGGAAGGGCAGUUACCUAAUACGUAAUUGUUUUGACGUU